GAGUUUGAUCCUGGCUCAGAUUGAACGCUGGCGGCAUGCCUUACACAUGCAAGUCGAACGGCAGCAUGAUCUAGCUUGCUAGAUUGAUGGCGAGUGGCGAACGGGUGAGUAAUACAUCGGAACGUGCCCUGUAGUGGGGGAUAACUAGUCGAAAGAUUAGCUAAUACCGCAUACGACCUGAGGGUGAAAGUGGGGGACCGCAAGGCCUCAUGCUAUAGGAGCGGCCGAUGUCUGAUUAGCUAGUUGGUGGGGUAAAGGCCCACCAAGGCGACGAUCAGUAGCUGGUCUGAGAGGACGAUCAGCCACACUGGGACUGAGACACGGCCCAGACUCCUACGGGAGGCAGCAGUGGGGAAUUUUGGACAAUGGGCGAAAGCCUGAUCCAGCAAUGCCGCGUGUGUGAAGAAGGCCUCGGUUGUAAG
rnacentral:rRNA from 1 species